rnacentral:rRNA from 1 species
CGCAGCCGCGGUAAUUCCAGCUCCAAUAGCGUAUAUUAAAGUUGUUGCGGUUAAAGAGCUCGUAGUUGAACUUCGGGAUCAAGGAAUCGGUCAUGCCUUGGUAUGUACUGGUUUUAUUGGUUCUCACCUUCUAAAGAACCAUAAUGUCAUUCAUUUGAUGUUAUGGGGAAUUAGGACUGUUACCUUGAAAAAUUAGAGUGUUUAAAGCAGGCUUACGCUUGAAUACAUUAGCAUGGAAUAACGGAAUAGGACGUUUGAUUCUAUUUUGUUGGUUUCUAGGAUCGACGUAAUGAUUAAUAGGGAUAGUUGGGGGCAUUAGUAUUCAAUUGUCAGAGGUGAAAUUCUUGGAUUUAUUGAAGACUAACUACUGCGAAAGCAUUUGCCAAGGAUGUUUUCAUUAAUCAAGAACGAAAGUUAGGGGAUCGAAGACGAUCAGAUACCGUCGUAGUCUUAACCAUAAACUAUGCCGACUAGGGAUCGGAUGAUGUUAAUUUUUUAAUG